rnacentral:sRNA from 1 species
AUACCAAAUCGCACAAAGCACAUUUGUCACAAUUUAUCUCCAAAUUUGGGAGAAACUUAACAUACAAUAUUCACACUGCGACUAGAAAGAUCCUACCACUAAUAUCCAGCUCGGUCCUCAUAUCGGAUUAAGUAAAAUUAUACUAUAAAUAUUAGACUGUGGGCAUCCAACCUAAAACCAAUUGACAAUAAGUAGAGAGAUCCAUAUUUUAUAUAUACCACUUAAGAUCCUACUCAACUUCCGAUGUGGGACAAUAUCCCUAAUAAUAAAUACCCUACCAUCAAGAUAGACAUAUAUAGUCUUUCAAACACACAUGUACAACAAU